rnacentral:rRNA from 1 species
AAAUUGAAGAGUUUGAUCAUGGCUCAGAUUGAACGCUGGCGGCAGGCCUAACACAUGCAAGUCGAACGGUAACAGGAAACAGCUUGCUGUUUCGCUGACGAGUGGCGGACGGGUGAGUAAUGUCUGGGAAACUGCCUGAUGGAGGGGGAUAACUACUGGAAACGGUAGCUAAUACCGCAUAAUGUCGCAAGACUAAAGAGGGGGACCUUCGGGCCUCUUGCCAUCGGAUGUGCCCAGAUGGGAUUAGCUAGUAGGUGGGGUAACGGC